rfam:Mycobacterium kansasii strain 1010001458 NODE_14_length_99553_cov_35.0403_ID_1706, whole genome shotgun sequence.
CGGGUAGCCCCGCGUUGUGGUCUGACCCCCCGACCCCGGCCGCAGCGCGGGGCAAUCCG